GAGUCAAAGGGAUUGAAUUAUACAGUAACCAUAGUUCAGGGUUCCAGAAUAUUUGCUUCGCAUAUAUUCAGCCUAUUCGGACGUCGGAUACCAUUGCUAGAUGGUCACAUCGAUUAGUAUAGGAAGUCGUUCCUAUACUACCGGCUUAGGUUCGAACCUAUGAGGUCACACGCAUAGAAGAUUCCUGAUUGAUCAAGAAGGCUGAUGAAUGAUUAAGAAUCAUUUAGGGGUAAUUUGGUCAAUUCGAUUGGCAAAUUAUCUUAUAAAAUAAUUAAAGUAAUUAUCAGAGGAUUAAUUAGUAAUUAGAUUGCUAAUGAACUCAAUUGGAUUGAGUAAUUAGACUAAGGAUGAGCCAAAUUGAAUUAGAUUCAAUUCUGGGCUCAAUCAGUGUUUUUGACCUGAUUGGAUUAGGUCUGAAUCAAGAGGACUUAGGUUGACCAAAUUAAAUUAGAUUAAAUUUGUGCUUAAUUAGGGAUUGACCUAAUUGGAUUAGGUUCAACCCAUGGUAAUUGAAUCAUCUAAUUGUUAGGAUUUAAUUAAAUUAAAUGGAUUUGAUCUGAAACUGUUCGGAUCUUGAAAUCCACUUGUCACAUAUCCAUGCAUGGCGCCAUAAAUUGAUUUUUAAUAUGAUUAAAAAUUAAUUUAAUUUUUUUAAUGGUGCCAUGGGACACUUGGCAACAUCAGGGACCUCUUUCAUCAUUAGAUGGGUCGAAAUGGAGAGAUAAAUUCAUGAAAAGAAUUGGAUAAGAUCAAAUUCUCUCUCUUCAUGACAUAUGCCAUCCUUAUCUUUAUCUCACUUCUAAUUAAGGUUGAAUUUCGAAUUUAAUCACCACAAAAUCACCACGUGACCCUCUAAUCUGAUUAGGAGCAUGGGAAUUUCGAAAUUGN
rnacentral:lncRNA from 1 species